rnacentral:tRNA from 1 species
GGGGUCGUGGCCAAAUGGCAAGGCGCUGGUCUUGCAAACCAGUAAUUGCGAGUUCGAUUCCCGCCGGCUCCA